CUGGCUCAGGAUGAACGCUGGCGGCGUGCUUAACACAUGCAAGUCGAACGGAACUUUACGGAAGGAGACUUCGGUCAACGGAAUUAAGUUUAGUGGCGGACGGGUGAGUAACGCGUGAGUAACCUGCCUUUCAGAGGGGGAUAACGUUUGGAAACGAACGCUAAUACCGCAUAAAACAGCAGAACCGCAUGGUUCAACUGUCAAAGAUUUUAUCGCUGAAAGAUGGACUCGCGUCCGAUUAGGCAGUUGGCGGGGUAACGGCCCACCAAACCGAUGAUCGGUAGCCGGACUGAGAGGUUGAACGGCCACAUUGGGACUGAGACACGGCCCAGACUCCUACGGGAGGCAGCAGUGGGGAAUAUUGCACAAUGGGCGCAAGCCUGAUGCCAGCAACGCCGCGUGAGGGAAGACGGUUUUCGGAUUGUAAACCUCUGUUCUUAGUGACGAAGAAGUGACGGUAGCUAAGGAGCAAGCCACGGCUAACUACGUGCCAGCAGCCGC
rnacentral:rRNA from 1 species